UUAUAAUAUAUAUAUUAUAAUGGAUUGGUAAAACAGUUGCAGUUUCAUUCCUUCUUCUGGGUUUGAUAAUCUAUCUGUAAAAUUAUGUUUAUUAUAGAUGUAACAUCUCGCCAUAAUCGUUCAAAUGC